GAUGAACGCUGGCGGCGUGCCUAAUACAUGCAAGUCGAGCGAACGGACGAGAAGCUUGCUUCUCUGAUGUUAGCGGCGGACGGGUGAGUAACACGUGGAUAACCUACCUAUAAGACUGGGAUAACUUCGGGAAACCGGAGCUAAUACCGGAUAAUAUUUUGAACCGCAUGGUUCAAAAGUGAAAGACGGUCUUGCUGUCACUUAUAGAUGGAUCCGCGCUGCAUUAGCUAGUUGGUAAGGUAACGGCUUACCAAGGCAACGAUGCAUAGCCGACCUGAGAGGGUGAUCGGCCACACUGGAACUGAGACACGGUCCAGACUCCUACGGGAGGCAUCAGUAGGGAAUCUUCCGCAAUGGGCGAAAGCCUGACGGAGCAACGCCGCGUGAGUGAUGAAGGUCUUCGGAUCGUAAAACUCUGUUAUUAGGGAAGAACAUAUGUGUAAGUAACUGUGCACAUCUUGACGGCACCUAAUCAGAAAGCCACGGCUAACUACGUG
rnacentral:rRNA from 1 species